rnacentral:rRNA from 1 species
UACAGAGGGUGCAAGCGUUAAUCGGAAUUACUGGGCGUAAAGCGUGCGUAGACGGUUGCGUAAGUCAGAUGUGAAAGCCCCGGGCUCAACCUGGGAAUUGCAUUUGAGACUGCGUAGCUAGGGUGCGGAAGAGGGAAGCGGAAUUUCCGGUGUAGAGGUGAAAUUCGUAGAUAUCGGGAGGAACACCAGUGGCGAAGGCGGCGAUCUGGGAAGAUACUGACGCUGAGGUGCGAAAGCGUGGGGAGCAAACAGG